CCAGCAAGCAGCACGAAAGCAAAAGCAAAACAUCUUGCAAAAAUCACCCAAUCUGCUUCCGCCACGUGACCCAAAAAAACCCCCACUUCCGGCUUCUUCUCUCCAGGCCGCAUGGCCGCGGAGGCCUCGUUUUGGUCGCCGUUUUGCCUGUCCCAGAUAUGGGAAGGAAUCGACAUAGAGACCAUGAUGCCCAUCCGCUUCCUGACGCUGCAACCCAUGGCGCUCUGCUACUGACGGCGGCAGAGUAGCUGCAACCGGGUGGUGGGAGGCUUUGGAGAUGGCUGAGCUUGUUUGGGUGGAUGGGAGGGCUACAUGUCUCUUGGAGCAACUGCCACAGAUCCACGAAGUUCAGAUUCAUCUGGACCAGCCACAUGGAUUCCCGUCUUGAGUUGAAGACCAACCUUCCAGUGUCCAGUAAAAGGACCUCUGCUUUGAUGCAA